CCCCUGGACGAAGACUGACGCUCAGGUGCGAAAGCGUGGGGAGCAAACAGGAUUAGAUACCCUGGUAGUCCACGCCGUAAACGAUGUCGACUUGGAGGUUGUGCCCUUGAGGCGUGGCUUCCGGAGCUAACGCGUUAAGUCGACCGCCUGGGGAGUACGGCCGCAAGGUUAAAACUCAAAUGAAUUGACGGGGGCCCGCACAAGCGGUGGAGCAUGUGGUUUAAUUCGAUGCAACGCGAAGAACCUUACCUGGUCUUGACAUCCACGGAAGUUUUCAGAGAUGAGAAUGUGCCUUCGGGAACCGUGAGACAGGUGCUGCAUGGCUGUCGUCAGCUCGUGUUGUGAAAUGUUGGGUUAAGUCCCGCAACGAGCGCAACCCUUAUCCUUUGUUGCCAGCGGUCCGGCCGGGAACUCAAAGGAGACUGCCAGUGAUAAACUGGAGGAAGGUGGGGAUGACGUCAAGUCAUCAUGGCCCUUACGACCAGGGCUACACACGUGCUACAAUGGCGCAUACAAAGAGAAGCGAUCUCGCGAGAGCAAGCGGACCUCAUAAAGUGCGUCGUAGUCCGGAUUGGAGUCUGCAACUCGACUCCAUGAAGUCGGAAUCGCUAGUAAUCGUGGAUCAGAAUGCCACGGUGAAUACGUUCCCGGGCCUUGUACACACCGCCCGUCACACCAUGGGAGUGGGUUGCAAAAGAAGUAGGUAGCUUAACCUUCGGGAGGGCGCUUACCACUUUGUGAUUCAUGACUGGGGUGAAGUCGUAACAAGGUAACCGUAGGGGAACCUGCGGUUGGAUCACCUCCUUA
rnacentral:rRNA from 1 species